UACGAAUAACAAGAUUUGAACUUGUACAGAGUGAAUCUCUAAUGGCACCUGAAGCCAUCGCGUCUGCCAAUUUCGCCAUAUUCGC
rnacentral:tRNA from 1 species